rfam:Oryza sativa (indica cultivar-group) chromosome 5, whole genome shotgun sequence.
UAGCUUUUUUCUUAGUUAAACUUUUUUUAAGUUUAACCAAGUUUGUAGAAAAACAUGGUGAUAUCUUCGACAUACAAUCAAAAUAUACUCAAUCUUAAGAUUUAAUGAGACUAAUUUGAUGUUGUAGAUGUUGCUAUAUUUUUCAAUAAACUUGAUCAAACUUAAAAAAAGUUUGGCUUAGGAAAAAGUCAA